ACUUAAAAAAGGCAAACUUAUCGAAAGGUAAGGACGCAAAGCCACGAGUCUAAGGCAUAUGCUAGGAUAGUCGGGUUACUGUA
rnacentral:ncRNA from 2 species